rnacentral:rRNA from 1 species
UACGGGGGGGGCAAGCGUUGUUCGGAAUUACUGGGCGUAAAGGGCUCGUAGGUGGCCAACUACGUCAGACGUGAAAUCCCUCGGCUUAACCGGGGAACUGCGUCUGAUACUGGAUGGCUUGAGUUUGGGAGAGGGACGCGGAAUUCCAGGUGUAGCGGUGAAAUUCGUAGAUAUCGGGAGGAACACCAGUGGCGAAGGCGGCGACCUGGGCCAAUACUGACGCUGAGGUGCGAAAGCGUGGGGAGCAAACAGG